UACGUAGGGUGCAAGCGUUGUCCGGAAUUAUUGGGCGUAAAGAGCUCGUAGGCGGUCUGUCGCGUCUGCUGUGGAAACUCGGGGCUUAACCCCGGGCCUGCAGUGGGUACGGGCAGACUAGAGUGCGGUAGGGGAGACUGGAAUUCCUGGUGUAGCGGUGAAAUGCGCAGAUAUCAGGAGGAACACCGGUGGCGAAGGCGGGUCUCUGGACAGUUCCUGACGCUGAGGCACGAAGGCCAGGGGAGCAAACGGG
rnacentral:rRNA from 1 species